rnacentral:rRNA from 1 species
AUUGUGUGAAUACAUAGCACAUUCGAGGUAGACGCAGAGAACUGAAACAUCUAAGUACCUGCAGGAAGAGAAAGAAAAUUCGAUUCCCUGAGUAGCGGCGAGCGAAACGGGAAAAGCCCAAACCAGCAAGCUUGCUUGUUGGGGUUGUAGGACUCCAAUAUGGUAGUUCUUUCAGAUAGUCGAAUGACUUGGAAAAGUCAGUCAAAGAGGGUAAAAACCCCGUAGACGAAAUGUGGAAGACACCUAGGAGGAUCCUGAGUACGGCGGAACACGAGAAAUUCCGUCGGAAUCCGGGAGGACCAUCUCCCAAGGCUAAAUACUCCCUAGUGACCGAUAGUGAACCAGUACCGUGAGGGAAAGGUGAAAAGCACCCCGGAAGGGGAGUGAAAUAGAACCUGAAACCGUGUGCCUACAACAAGUCAAAGCCCGUUAAUGGGUGAUGGCGUGCCUUUUGUAGAAUGAACCGGCGAGUUACGAUUGCAUGCGAGGUUAAGUUGAAGAGACGGAGCCGCAGCGAAAGCGAGUCUGAAUAGGGCGUUUGAGUAUGUAGUCGUAGACCCGAAACCAUGUGAUCUACCCAUGUCCAGGUUGAAGGUGCGGUAAAACGCACUGGAGGACCGAACCCACGUACGUUGAAAAGUGCGGGGAUGAGGUGUGGGUAGCGGAGAAAUUCCAAACGAACUUGGAGAUAGCUGGUUCUCUCCGAAAUAGCUUUAGGGCUAGCCUCGGAAUUGAGAAUGAUGGAGGUAGAGCACUGUUUGGACUAGGGGCCCAUCUCGGGUUACCGAAUU